CUGAUUAGAGUUGGUCUGAGGUGUAUUCGAUGUGCCCCCACUCGUGCGAAUUGCCUGCCCCCACUCAGCCUAGUAUCUCUUUAUUUUUAAAAGCCCAACUCCAUAGGAAAAACCCGAUAUAUAUAAGAAAAAGAAUUGCUACGGGCCUCAGCGUAAGUCAGAUGCCUCCUUGUAGGUUACGCGUUGCCUAGCUCAAUCCAAUGGCCAGAUUUCAUGUACACGCGCACAUCGUCCACUCAAAUAAAAACCACACACGCAGCCACGCACGAAGUCAUCGCCUCGAGCCCUCGACCUCGCCUCUCACGCCGCCGCGGUCCUGCGGAGUCAUCGGGUCACCGGCUAAUUACGGCAAAUCGCUGACUCACCGUCGCCGGCCCCUUACACCAUCAGACUUGCACUACUUCAUCGGAGAACAGAGAUCUUAAUUCCACAAUUCCCUAGUUCUAAAUGACUUCAAGGUAUGCCGUCAAAUUCUUUAAUUUCAAAUCAACUUAUAUGUAUAGUUUGUCAAUUUGGAUGAGUAGGUCAGUUUAAAUAUAUUUGUGUAACAUACUCCCCUUUUCCUAAAUAUAAGUCCUUUUAGAGCUGAAGAUUCUUAUAUGAAGGAACAAAAAAGGGUAAUCAGUCUGAUUGUAGGUAAAGAGUUUACCCGGCUGACUCAGUUCUAGCAUAAUGAUGUAUAUAUACAUACUUUAUACUAUAGAUUCACUCAUUUUAUUUCAUAUGUAGUCUUAUAAUAAAAUAUCAAAUAAAAUCAACAACUUUCAAGAUGCCCGAACUUGUUGAUUUGUACAAGCUUCCUAGGGAUCAAUCUAAAAGACUAGAAUUCCUACCAAAAGUGAUAGUUAAACCUUUUUAUACAGUCAAAGAUCAUCGUGGGAUAAAUAAAAAGUAAUGCGCUAAAGUGUUUCUUUUUCUUUUUCAAAGUACCAGCUUUCUUCAAUGUUUCCAUUCUUUCUCAAUUUGAUAAUGUAUUUUCUUACACGUUGUAGGUUGAUUGGUAGAACAAUGUGUCAUAUUUGCAACUUCGAAACAAGAUAUCACCAUAUGUAAUUCAUUUAAUCUCAAAUGGUUAGUCUUCUUUCAGUUUUUGAUGAAUUUGGUUAAUGCAUGAAAAAUGAGGCGUGCAAAAAGGAGGUGAUUAUGCCCGUGUUUUGUUUACAUUAAUGCUUUUGCCUUGCUGGUUCAUGAAUAUGGACAUACAUUUUUUUGCCCCUCUCAAUUUUUUUCCUGGGUCCGCAACAUGGGUUGACAGAAGGAAACACAAACUUAUUAGGUAUACAACUGCAGAGACCAACAAGAAGAUGCAUACAAGAACUUGCGAAACACAGGCAUUUAGUGGUUUAAGACAUGUGCAGAACACACGAAAAACAGAGACAUUCGUUGAAUUACCUCACUAUGUAUCUUUGCAAUAUGGCAAGCAAGCCCCAUCUUUGAAAAGAAUCUUUUAGUGUUGAGAAACUAAUGGUUGCUGAGGAGGCCUGCAUAAAGGAAUCCAUGGGUCAUUAUUAAGCUACGGCGUAUUAAGGAUAUCUGUAAACAAUCUGAGAAAGAUGCGUCACCGGGGAUCAGCAAGUAAACCAGCGUAUUUGGCAGAUAAUACAUGUCAUUUCUAAAAAAUUAAGCACAUUUCGGUGUCAUGUUUUUGCCCAAGUUGAUUUGUAAUUCCAAACGUGCACUUCUGUAUGUUGCUUCCUUCAUAAAGUGCCCGUUCACAGCAACAUAAAAGAAUGUAUGCUUUGACUAACAGUUCAUUCAACAUUGCAAGGCAAAAUUUUGGCAAGGUUCGGUUCCUCGCCAACUAUCACUUCACUGG
rnacentral:lncRNA from 1 species